UGAGGAGUCCCAUUAUUUCUGUUCAAACUGUUCCACUUCGCAUGGAAUGAAUAUUCAUCAGGCUCAUGAGGGAAUGAAAGUAUAAAAGUAUAUCUAUAGCUGGGUUGUUAGGAUGCUCAGCAGGGAAGGUGGGUGAGUUGUAUGAAGGGAUACAUAAGGUGAGUCCUUGCUUGAAUUCUUGCAACAAAAGCAAGAAAACACUCCCUCAAGCAAGAGCACCCCCACCCCCCCACCCAGGUGAGUCAGAUGAGUGCAUGAGCGUAUAAACCACUUUUUUUUUUUUUUUUUUUUUUUUUUUUUUUUUUUUAUUACAUCACUUGUGUGUGUCCAGAAGAACAACUUCAGCAGAAGUGCUUUUUCAGGCAGGGUAAUAGUGGAUCUUCCACUUCCUAUCUGAGUGCUCUCAGGUAGUGGAUGUGUGCAGGAAGAAAGGCUUCUUAUCCUCCCACCGUGCAAGUUAAAUAAGCAAUACAGUCUAAGCAUGUCCUGAAUUACCUGGCCAGGAAUGAAUCCCACCAAGCUUGUUGUGAAAUUAUUUGGAAAGAUGUUGACAAGGUAGUCUGAACAGGACACUCAUAUGUGCAGGACCAGAACCAGGAAACAGAAUCAGGAAACAUUUGUCAACAUUAUGAAAAGGAUGCACUAUGGAGGUUCCUUGUCCUAAAAACACAGAAACAUGGACCCGGAAAGGACUACAGGAAGCUGACCUGCCCAGGCUUAGAGUUGUCCCGACCAGCUUUUGGGGAUGUCUGAUUUUUCAGACUCAUUUGACUUCUGGUUCUGAACUUGUCACCAAAGAAAAUUGUAAAUACAAGGCAGUAAAGAAGAUGGAGCCAGAAGAUGUAGUCAGUGACUGAGAGACAAUGGGCGUAAACAUAGGAAAUUCCAUUUAAACAUAAGAAAACUUUUUUUACUGUGAGGUUCAUCAAAAAUGGUAACAACUUGCCUGGAAGGAUUGUGGAGUUUUCAUCUUGGAGACACUCAAAACUUGAAUGGACACGGCUCUGAGCAACCUGCUCAGGAUGACU
rnacentral:lncRNA from 1 species